CCACUGACAACAACCAAUCAUGUUCUGCAACUUAUAUACACUACAAGCUUCUAAUGCUGGAGAUGUACUAUGGUGUCAGCUGUUCAUUACCAGUGAACUAAGAAUUCCAAGACUGGUACAUGAACCGAGAGAAGGAAACUGGAGACCUAGUCCUAAUGCUUGCAACAGAUAGAACUUUACAGAAAGCACCCAAAGUUCAGGCGGUGGCAUUAAACUCAUUUGACAGACCAAGACUUCAGACAGACUUAGCUGCAAUAAUAGAAUUAUUAAUAAACAUACUUUGACACUUAAGAAA